rnacentral:rRNA from 1 species
UGGGGAAUAUUGGACAAUGGAGGAAACUCUGAUCCAGCAAUUCUGUGUGUGUGAAGAAGGUUUUAGGACUGUAAAACACUUUUAGUAGGGAAGAAAAAAAUGACGGUACCUACAGAAGAAGCAACGGCUAACUACGUGCCAGCAGCCGCGGUAAUACGUAGGUGGCAAGCGUUGUCCGGAAUUAUUGGGCGUAAAGCGCGCGCAGGCGGACUAGCCAGUCAGUCUUAAAAGUUCGGGGCUUAACCCCGUGAUGGGAUUGAAACUACUAGUCUAGAGUAUCGGAGAGGAAAGUGGAAUUCCUAGUGUAGCGGUGAAAUGCGUAGAUAUUAGGAAGAACACCAGUGGCGAAGGCGACUUUCUGGACGAACACUGACGCUGAGGCGCGAAAGCCAGGGGAGCGAACGGG